rnacentral:rRNA from 1 species
AUUGAACGCUGGCGGAAUGCUUUACACACGCAAGUCGAACGGUAGAGGGGGCAACCCCUCGAGAGUGGCGAACGGGUGAGUAAUAUAUCGGAACGUGCCCAGUCGUGGGGGAUAACGUAGCGAAAGUUACGCUAAUACCGCAUACGAUCUAAGGAUGAAAGCGGGGGAUCGCAAGACCUCGCGCGAUUGGAGCGGCCGAUAUCAGAUUAGGUAGUUGGUGGGGUAAAGGCUCACCAAGCCAACGAUCUGUAGCUGGUCUGAGAGGACGACCAGCCACACUGGAACUGAGACACGGUCCAGACUCCUACGGGAGGCAGCAGUGGGGAAUUUUGGACAAUGGACGCAAGUCUGAUCCAGCCAUUCCGCGUGCAGGAUGAAGGCCCUCGGGUUGUAAACUGCUUUUGUACGGAACGAAAAGGUCUCUCUUAAUACGGGGGACUCAUGACGGUACCGUAAGAAUAAGCACCGGCUAACUACGUGCCAGCCGCCGCAGUAAGAC